rnacentral:rRNA from 1 species
CCCCUAGAUGUUCUGGGCCGCACGCGCGCUACACUGAACAGUUCAACAAGUCUUAACCUUGGCCGAUAGGUCUGGGUAAUCUUUGAACGCUGUUCGUGAUUGGGAUAGACCUUUGCAAUUAUGGGUCCUCAACGAGGAAUUCCUAGUAAACGCAAGUCAUCAGCUUGCAUUGAUUACGUCCCUGCCCUUUGUACACACCGCCCGUCGCACCUACCGAUUGAUGGUCCGGUGAAAUCUCGGGACGGCGGCUUGGUCGCUUGCGUCCGACUGCUGAAACUUGAUUAAACCAUAUCAUUUAGAGGAAGGUGAANUCGUAACA